rnacentral:lncRNA from 1 species
AUAAUUUACAAUUUCGGUACAGAAGUAAGAAGUUGUCAAAUAUGUGUAUAUAUAGCAAUAUGUAUAUUUGCUAUUGGCAAGUAUUAAAAUAGAAGACACAGCAAACCUCAGAUAGUCAGCCGCACAAAGCAAGCUUUUAGUAAAUAGGAAGUUUGUACGGAUUCAGAAAAAGCCAGGGGGGGGUCGUAUGAGAUGUGCUCAGAUAAAGCACGGGCUGUGCCCGGCACCCUGAGCUGCAACAUGAGCAGAGGUUUACAUUUCUUAAGCACCUCCCGGUCUCCGGCAGGACACAGCAGACUGACGUGGCCUGCACCGUGAAGCACACGCCAUGCACUUCCAACGCCCAGCACAACACAGCCCCCGCUUACACCGCGUAGAGCGGUGCGUUACUACUCUCACACCGCACCUCGCACCCUGCCACCGGGAGGCGCUUCCCUGCCUGCCUGCCUCCCUCCGCGCCCCGCUUCCCCGACAAUGCGCAUCGCCCAACUUGCACAAAGCGGGCUAGAGCCCUCGCCUGACGGGUUAUCACAGCCGAGCCGCCGCCCUCUUCCACACGUCUCCUCGCAGCUGCGGCCAGCACAGGCACGGCCGCCUCCUUUCCCCGCCAGCCCAGCCCCGAGGCCCGCCCGCCACGGCUACGAGCGGGCACGGAUCUAACCUCGCAAUUCCUCCCCAGCCUGCCAGCUCCGCCGCCGCCCGGCCCGCACGACCGUCCCUACACCGUGGCCGUUCCCUUGGCAGCCAACCGCCCAACAGCCCGCUGCCACGUGGUGCAGCGAUCCAGCCCAAACAGGUCGCCACAGGCACUCCUCUGCGUUGGCCCCUCUUUUUCAUGCGUUCAAAAUGGCCGCGCCCAGCGGCCGUCCCGCCCCGCCCCGCCUGGGGCCAUGCUCCCCGCAGUGCUCCCCGCAGUGCUCCCCGCAGUGCUUCCCGCAGUCCUCCCCGCCGGCAGCGAGGCGUUGCGCAGCUUAGGGAGGUUUAUUUCAUCGGUAAACAGCACAAUGGACAGAACAUCCAACAUCAUCGUUUUGGAAGAAGUAUUGGAAGAUCGUGUGUUGGGAGCCUUGCAGAAGACAUUGCAUUCAGAAGCUGGUGAUCUUGAACAGGACAUGUCUUUUAUACUGGGACCUGUGCUUAGGACUUGA